CACAACCCAGGGUACCUCUUCGCCCUCCCGCCCCGCUGCUGGCGGUGAACGUGGGCAUGGGCGCUGCUCCUCCUGGGAAACAGAGGCAGCCACGUCACCAGGAUAGAAUAUGCUCCGGCCGCACCUUUAUGACAGGAGAUGUGCAUCAGUACAGCACUCUGUGCAGGUGUCUCUCUGGCCACAGCUGGGCCCAGGCCUCUGUCAUCGUACAGAACAGCUGGGCAACGUCCCGGCCCAGGGAGAGCCCUGCCUCCCACCCAAAGUCACGUCGCAGGGUCCAGGUGAUGGGCAAUCGGAAAAGACACAUGUCCUCUAUUACAGGUUGAAUGAUGUCCUCCCCCCCCGCCCCCCGCAAAUUCAGACCUCAGAAUGAGACCUUAGUUGGAGACAUGCUCUUUAUGGAGACAAUCGAGUUAAAACAAGGACGUUAGGGUGGGUCCCCAAUCCAAUACUGUUGACGUCCUUACAAGAAGGGGACAUCUGGAGACAGAGGGACGACCAUGUGAGCACACGGGGAGAAGACGGUGUCUGCGCGCCCGGGAGAGCAGCCCCAGGAGGAGCCAGGGCCGCCCACACCCAGAUCUCAGGCUUGCGGCCUCCAGAUGUGAGGUGUUUACGGCCCCCGGGGCCAAGGUGGCUUGUGACAGCAAUGCCAGCAAAUAGGUCUCCAGAGGGAGGCUGGACGUAUUCGCGGACCCCUUUCUUCCUCUGAGCCCCAGCACGGCUGCUGGGGGCCCGUGCGGAACUGACUUCCUCCCGGGCUCCGUGGGCAGCUCAGCCAGUCGGACGCCCCUGGCUCUGGAGAAGCUGUAGACAGGAAGGAGAGGGGGAGGAACAUUCCACACGGUGCAGGGCAAGGCUUUCCAUGCAUUCUGCCGCUGCGUCACUGACUCGGGAGCGGCUGCUGGUGUCGGAAGCCUGGCUCAGCACGCCGGGGGGUAGUCAGCGUGACGAGGCCCAGCGAGGCCCGGGGUGCGGCCUCUCCGUCCCUGUGCGCGGACACACACAGGCCCGAGGUGGGGAUAGACACGUCCCCUUGUAGAGCCUCAGAUCUGCUCAUUGUCUCAGGUUAUCGGGCCUAAUCUCCCACCCGGGACCAAAGGCCUCAAAGGGACAGCAUCCCGGAAAGGUGGCAACUUCGUACGUCCUCGGAACGCGUCCAUCUAGGAGAGCUCGAGGCCAAUUGUCCAGCGGUCGGGCAGAUUCCAGAGCAGGGGACGGUACGUGUUCCCACAUCUCCGGGUGUCCAUCCUUCAGAGCGCUGCGGAUACGAUCGCGUUCCCGCCUGCAGCCUCCCCUCAUCUCCAGGCUUUUCUCAAGCCCUCGUGGUGACGCGUCGCCGGACCCCAGCGGCGUUUGACCGGCGCCCGUGGCGAUGGGGCCACACGUCCCCGUCCUGAACACGGCACUUCUAAGAAUAAAGCUCCGGGUCAGACCACA